AGUCACACUGUAUGAUUGUGAAUUUUAAUUGCUGUUUUUAACAGAGAUUUUUGUCUUUUCUGUUUUUUUACAGAUCACUAUUGCACACCAAUCUUUGUAAUCCCCUGCAAUAAAAAAAAUGACCACAUGGUGCGUUGUUCAGUUCAGAAGUGGGGCAACUGAAAUUGUGCCAAACUCAUGGGUUGAAGGAGAUAAAGUCUUCUGGCCCCCAUACCCUCCUAAGGACUCUAUUAGGCUGAAUGCAGCCAUCCUGAAUAGAGAGCAGCCUGGUCAGGGAUGGCACACAUACCAGCCUAUCCGUCUCCUCAUAACUCGUGAUAGUCAUGAUGAGGCAGCGAGGAGCCUGGACAGAUAUCUCAAUAAAGAUUGUGACAUCACUGACAUCCAGUCUGAGGAGGAGAGCCACCAUGCCCUGAAAAGAAAAAGAAGACCGAAUCCAGUUUAUCACUCAGACGAGGAGCCCCAGAAUGAGUGCAGAUUCACCCAAGCCCCAAAAGUGUUAUUUCCAGCGACCCAACUAGCCAGUCAGAACAGCCAACCAUCACCACCUCCACGAAUCUAUCAGACCCUCCAACGCCCCAAUUCCCCCAUGUUGUCUUACCCCAAUGUCCCAGCAUCGUUCCCUGGAGAUGAAUUGGUGUUCUCUCCAAUUAAUUUACUCCAGAGGCCAUCUCCUGAAGUUGUUUCAGAUUCUUCAGAAACUGCCAGGUUGGCAUUAAAAGAUGUGGCUAUGCAAAAACUUCUUACUGCAGUGACAGAGCUGUCCAAGGAGGUGAAGGACCUGCGGGAGGAGUUUAGGCAAUUCCGCCAGUCCUGCAGGUGUGGACAAUCGGAGUCUGUGGUACAGCCACUGUCGGAGCCCUUGGAGCUGCCCUUCCACACCAUGGAGGCCCUGGCCCAUGCAGAAGAGACACUGUUAAAUGGCACAAACCGACAGGCAAUGACUGCUCGUCUCGCCACCAUUGGAGGGACUACCCUAGAGGUGAGGGUCCGCCGUAUGAUGGCACACCUGAGCCUACUAAACAAAAACGUCCCUUUAAAGAGUUGGCACUCUGCCGAUCUUUGUUUGGUAAGUCCUGCUCCAUUUUCAAUCACCAUUAUAAUAUCAAUCCUAGGCUGCAAGCCAAAGGGCCUUAAUGCACACCCCAACUCACCCCAUGCAGCACCAGGAAUCUUAGCACAAAGUUAACACAAUAAUCAAAAAUAAACCUCAGCAUUCAGUGACUUGUAACAGUGAUCUAUAAUUGUUAAAGGAUUAGUUCACAUCAAAAUGAGAAACAGUUGAAAUGUUGCCGUAAAGAUAAGAGCAACACACCGCUAAUCCAAAUGUAGACUUGUCUGUCGGCGGCCCUCCCUCUGGCUCUGACCUAGCAGCAGUAGCGCAGCGUCUAUGGCGUUAUUUUCCUUUCAAAUGUAGAGAGCGCAUUGUUGUAGCGCGAAAGUACAUUAAUAUAAUGCGCGAGCGCGAAUCUCUCUGCUCACGCGCGGAAUUUAA
ensembl:lncRNA